rnacentral:lncRNA from 1 species
GUGGCAAACAAAUGACUCCAAGGUCACAAUUUGGGGGAACAUUAUGGGAGAACUAAACAACCAGAAGUCACAUAUUUGGUAUUCCUUGUGGUCUGUUUCCUUGGGAACCUUAUGGCAAGGGACAACUGUGGUCUGGAGCAAGAUUCAGGUAUUUCUGGGUUUUUUGACUAAAAAAAUCUUAUUAAAUCUAGUAAAUUUUAUUUCAACUUUUAACUGUUUGACUUGGUCAUUGAUAUACUUUUUGAGGGUAAUUAUAGGAAAAUUGAAACUAGACAAUGUAAAGUGUUUUUAGAUGAUAGCUUUUCAGUGGAAUUUGGAUCAUUCCUAUAGGAUUUGACAUACUAAUAUAUGAUAUGUACACUUUUUAAGACUUGGUCAGCCUCUUUAUUAGGGCUCACUUGUACCAAAAUCAGAUUUGUUUCUGGAUAUAUCAAGGAUGAUUUUUCAAGAGGUAAUGAAUUUCAAAUUGUCUUCAAGCUUUUUAAUAAAGGAUAGGAGUUUGGGAGGGUUCCA